CACAGUUAUUCGAUUGACAGUGUUGUCUGUACCUAUAUGCACCGGUUACAAUAUAUAUUAGUGUACAUGAUGCUUUUUGCAAUAGGGUAGAGGUCUUGAACACACCCAUGGUCUUAGAAAAUGUACCUUGGACUGACGGAGGCACAAUGCUGCGUUCAAGAUCUAUACCCUCUUACAUUUUGUAAUGUACAAUAUAAUGUUCUGUCUCUGUCUGAUGUCUUGCCACUGCAGAUGAUCCGUGCCAGGUUAGAGUUGAGAAGUUGAACCCAUCAACAGUUAGAGUCGAUGCUUCACGUCACGGGCAUGUGGAUCACACCCAGAGUUCACAGGGCUUGGUCAGACCGUAACGCCUUUCCACCUACGAGGAAAACCGUGAAAGCAGUAUGGUCAGCUUUAAUGCUAGCUGGCAGGAUGAUGGGAGGGUGCUGUCCUGUCAACCACAGGGGACCAAACACCAGUGUGUGAGCAAGAGCAUCAAGCUGAAGGUUGAAUAUUCCCCUAAGGAGACGAAGGCUGUUGUAAAUUUGUCAAAUGUGAAGGACGGUCUGUCAAUCCUUACUUGUCCCAGCAGAGGGCACCCCAAUGCUACCCACUCCUGGUUCAGUCAAAAGUCUGUGGAACAGAAUUGUUGAUGCCAUCUAUCACAUCUACACAGGGCGGGAAUUACUACUGCAAAGCUGUAAACCAACAUGGGACCCACGACUCAAAUAUUGUUACAAUCAAAUGUUAAUUGUGAGAUAUUCCCUAUUUGUGUAGUCCAGACAUACAUUUUGUAUCAUUAGGGAAAUAAUUAAUUUAAAUAAUGUUUUUGGCAGUCUCUGUCUCACAUCCAUGCUUAUAUUGUGGAAUUGACUUUUUAAUACAUAGACAAUGAAGGCAGCCUACACAGUUUUUAUUCAAUUGGAAUACUCUCUCUUUCAGAUGCUCCUGUAGGAGUGCACAUUGAAACAAAUAAGGAUUUGUCUACAAUCAAAGAAGGAGAUCAAAUCAAAUUAACUUGCAUAGUGCAGAAAAGCAACCCUGAAGUGCAUUCAUGGUCUUGGUUCAAAGACAAGGACAAAAUAACCAAUAUUUUAAAUGAGUAUACCUUCAGCAGUGUACAGCCAGAGGACAGAGGUCAUUACUACUGUGAGGCGAGCAAUGAUGUUAUCAGGAACUACUCAAUAAUAUAUACUGUGCUGUAGAAAUUAAUAUACAGUACCUGUCAAAAGUUUGGAUACACCUACUCAUUCAAGGGGUUUUCUUUAUUUUUUUACAUUGUAGAAUAAUAGUGAGGACAUC
rnacentral:lncRNA from 1 species